rnacentral:tRNA from 3 species
GCCGAAGUGGCGGAACUGGCAGACGCGCCAGGUUCAGGUCCUGGUCCGGUUCACACCGGGUGGAGGUUCGAGUCCUCUCUUCGGCACCA